rnacentral:rRNA from 1 species
UACGUAGGGGGCAAGCGUUGUCCGGAAUUAUUGGGCGUAAAGAGCGUGUAGGCGGUCCGGUAAGUCGGCUGUGAAAGUCCAGGGCUCAACCCUGGGAUGCCGGUCGAUACUGCCGGACUAGAGUUCGGAAGAGGCGAGUGGAAUUCCCGGUGUAGCGGUGAAAUGCGCAGAUAUCGGGAGGAACACCAGUGGCGAAGGCGACUACCUGGCCUGUUUCUUGACGCUGAGGCGCGAAAGCUAGGGGAGCAAACGGG